UUGAAUAUCUAAUUGUAAGGUUAAUUGUUGUUUUUGUGAAUAAAAUAUUAUUUAUUUAGUAAAGUUAAUUGAAAUUGUUUGAUUUUAUUAUAGUCGAUAAGUAAGGUAAUUGAAGGAAAUAAGCUGACUUAAAAAGAAAUUAAGUUUUUUACCUUUUGUAUCAGGGUCGAAUGAAAAAAAACUGUAUAGUUUAUUCUCGAAUAACUAAGAUUGAUUUAUUUAUUUAGAUUGAUGUGGUAAUAUCAUCUUAAAUGAGUAAAUGGUAAUGAAAUGUUAUUCGUUUAGUUAUGAUUCUAGUUUUUAAGGAAAUCAAUUUAAUUGGAUGUUAGAUUAAGUAGGCUUUAUUUUAAGUUUUUAAUUAUUCUAAACGGAAAUUACAAGGAGUUUAGUUUUUGUAGUUUUUAAAUUAUUUGUUAGUUUAAUUUAUUUUGUUUUAGAAGUGAAAAUAAGAAAUAGUUUUUGAAAAAUAUUAUUGGUUAUUUUUGAUUUAUUGAUGAAUUAAUUUUUUACUUAAAUGUAAUUUAAAUUUGGGAAAAUUAAUAAUUAUUUUUGAAUUAGUAAAUGAGUUAAUUUAAAUCGAAGAACUCGGCAAAUAUAUUUUUCACCUGUUUAACAAAAACAUGUCUUAUUAAUAAAUUUUUAAGUCUAAUCUGCUCACUGAUAUUUGAAGAGCCGCAGUAUUCUGACUGUGCAAAGGUAGCAUAAUCAAUUGCUUAUUAAAUGUAAGCUGGAAUGAAAGAUUGAAUGAGAGAAUUUCUUUUUUGAUUUAAUUGAUUGAAAUUAAAAUUUGAGUGAAAAUUCUCAGGUAUUAUAAAAAGACGAGAAGACCCUAUAAAGUUUUAUUUGUGAGUAAAUUUUAAAUUAUUUAUGGCGAAUUUAAUUGGGGUGAUUUUUUAAAAUAAAUAACUUAAUUUUGUUUAACCAAAAUAUUUGAACUGAGAGAUCUAAUAUUAUUAAAAAUAAGAUUAAAUUACUUUAGGGAUAACAGCGUAAUUUUAAUUAAGAGUUCAUAUUUAUAUUGAAGUUUGCGACCUCGAUGUUGAAUUAAGAUAAACUAGUGGAGUAGAAGCUAUUAGUGUUAGUCUGUUCGACUAUAAAAUCUUACAUGAUUUGAGUUCAGACCGGCGUGAGCCAGGUCAGUUUCUAUCUUUUAUUUGUUUUUAGAAAAGGGUACGAAAGGACAUUUUUUAGUUAUUAAAUGAUUUAUUGUGAAUGCAAUUAA
rnacentral:rRNA from 1 species